rnacentral:rRNA from 1 species
AACGAACGCUGGCGGCAUGCCUCAUACAUGCAAGUCGAACGCAGGCUUCGGCCUGAGUGGCGCACGGGUGAGUAGCGCGUGGGAACCUGCCCAGCAGUGGGGGAUAACCGAUGGAAACGUCGGCUAAUACCGCAUGCGCCCGGUGAGCGAUCAUCGGGGAAAGAUUUAUCGCUGUUGGAGGGGCCCGCGUCGGAUUAGCUAGUUGGUGGGGUAACGGCCUACCAAGGCUAUGAUCCGUAGCUGGUCUGAGAGGAUGAUCAGCCACACUGG